rnacentral:rRNA from 1 species
ACAGCCCCGUACACAAAAAUGCACAUGCUGUGAGCUCGAUGAGUAGGGCGGGACACGUGGUAUCCUGUCUGAAUAUGGGGGGACCAUCCUCCAAGGCUAAAUACUCCUGACUGACCGAUAGUGAACCAGUACCGUGAGGGAAAGGCGAAAAGAACCCCGGCGAGGGGAGUGAAAAAGAACCUGAAACCGUGUACGUACAAGCAGUGGGAGCACGCUUAGGCGUGUGACUGCGUACCUUUUGUAUAAUGGGUCAGCGACUUAUAUUCUGUAGCAAGGUUAACCGAAUAGGGGAGCCGAAGGGAAACCGAGUCUUAACUGGGCGUUAAGUUGCAGGGUAUAGACCCGAAACCCGGUGAUCUAGCCAUGGGCAGGUUGAAGGUUGGGUAACACUAACUGGAGGACCGAACCGACUAAUGUUGAAAAAUUAGCGGAUGACUUGUGGCUGGGGGUGAAAGGCCAAUCAAACCGGGAGAUAGCUGGUUCUCCCCGAAAGCUAUUUAGGUAGCGCCUCGUGAAUUCAUCUCCGGGGGUAGAGCACUGUUUCGGCAAGGGGGUCAUCCCGACUUACCAACCCGAUGCAAACUGCGAAUACCGGAGAAUGUUAUCACGGGAGACACACGGCGGGUGCUAACGUCCGUCGUGAAGAGGGAAACAACCCAGACCGCCAGCUAAGGUCCCAAAGUCAUGGUUAAGUGGGAAACGAUGUGGGAAGGCCCAGACAGCCAGGAUGUUGGCUUAGAAGCAGCCAUCAUUUAAAGAAAGCGUAAUAGCUCACUGGUCGAGUCGGCCUGCGCGGAAGAUGUAACGGGGCUAAACCAUGCACCGAAGCUGCGGCAGCGACGCUUAUGCGUUGUUGGGUAGGGGAGCGUUCUGUAAGCCUGUGAAGGUGUACUGUGAGGUAUGCUGGAGGUAUCAGAAGUGCGAAUGCUGACAUAAGUAACGAUAAAGCGGGUGAAAAGCCCGCUCGCCGGAAGACCAAGGGUUCCUGUCCAACGUUAAUCGGGGCAGGGUGAGUCGACCCCUAAGGCGAGGCCGAAAGGCGUAGUCGAUGGGAAACAGGUUAAUAUUCCUGUACUUGGUGUUACUGCGAAGGGGGGACGGAGAAGGCUAUGUUGGCCGGGCGACGGUUGUCCCGGUUUAAGCGUGUAGGCUGGUUUUCCAGGCAAAUCCGGAAAAUCAAGGCCGAGGCGUGAUGACGAGGCACUACGGUGCUGAAGCAACAAAUGCCCUGCUUCCAGGAAAAGCCUCUAAGCAUCAGGUAACAUCAAAUCGUACCCCAAACCGACACAGGUGGUCAGGUAGAGAAUACCAAGGCGCUUGAGAGAACUCGGGUGAAGGAACUAGGCAAAAUGGUGCCGUAACUUCGGGAGAAGGCACGCUGAUACGUAGGUGAAGCGACUUGCUCGUGGAGCUGAAAUCAGUCGAAGAUACCAGCUGGCUGCAACUGUUUAUUAAAAACACAGCACUGUGCAAACACGAAAGUGGACGUAUACGGUGUGACGCCUGCCCGGUGCCGGAAGGUUAAUUGAUGGGGUUAGCGCAAGCGAAGCUCUUGAUCGAAGCCCCGGUAAACGGCGGCCGUAACUAUAACGGUCCUAAGGUAGCGAAAUUCCUUGUCGGGUAAGUUCCGACCUGCACGAAUGGCGUAAUGAUGGCCAGGCUGUCUCCACCCGAGACUCAGUGAAAUUGAACUCGCUGUGAAGAUGCAGUGUACCCGCGGCAAGACGGAAAGACCCCGUGAACCUUUACUAUAGCUUGACACUGAACAUUGAGCCUUGAUGUGUAGGAUAGGUGGGAGGCUUUGAAGUGUGGACGCCAGUCUGCAUGGAGCCGACCUUGAAAUACCACCCUUUAAUGUUUGAUGUUCUAACGUGGACCCGUGAUCCGGGUUGCGGACAGUGUCUGGUGGGUAGUUUGACUGGGGCGGUCUCCUCCUAAAGAGUAACGGAGGAGCACGAAGGUUGGCUAAUCCUGGUCGGACAUCAGGAGGUUAGUGCAAUGGCAUAAGCCAGCUUGACUGCGAGCGUGACGGCGCGAGCAGGUGCGAAAGCAGGUCAUAGUGAUCCGGUGGUUCUGAAUGGAAGGGCCAUCGCUCAACGGAUAAAAGGUACUCCGGGGAUAACAGGCUGAUACCGCCCAAGAGUUCAUAUCGACGGCGGUGUUUGGCACCUCGAUGUCGGCUCAUCACAUCCUGGGGCUGAAGUAGGUCCCAAGGGUAUGGCUGUUCGCCAUUUAAAGUGGUACGCGAGCUGGGUUUAGAACGUCGUGAGACAGUUCGGUCCCUAUCUGCCGUGGGCGCUGGAGAACUGAGGGGGGCUGCUCCUAGUACGAGAGGACCGGAGUGGACGCAUCACUGGUGUUCGGGUUGUCAUGCCAAUGGCACUGCCCGGUAGCUAAAUGCGGAAGAGAUAAGUGCUGAAAGCAUCUAAGCACGAAACUUGCC